rnacentral:misc_RNA from 1 species
GAUGAAGAACGCAGCGAAAUGCGAUAAGUAAUGCGAAUUGCAGAAUUCAGUGAGUCAUCGAAUCUUUGAACGCACAUUGCGCCCUGUGGUAUUCCGCAGGGCAUGCCUGUUCGAGCGUCAUUUCAACCCUCAAGCUCUGCUUGGUGUUGGGCCACGCCCCCGCGGCCGGCCCCAAAGCUAGUGGCGGUGCCGUCUGGCUCUAAGCGUAGUACAUCUCUCGCUCUAGGGCCCGGCGGUUGCUUGCCAGAACCCACACUCUUAUGGUUGACCUCGGAUCAGGUAGGGAUACCCGCUGAACUUAAGCAUAUCAAUAAGCGGGGA